GUGAACAUAGUUUAAUAAAAAUUCUAGGUUGUGGUCCUAGUAAUGAAGGCUAACAUCCUCCUGUUCACC
rnacentral:tRNA from 1 species